UACGUAGGGGGCAAGCGUUGUCCGGAUUCAUUGGGCGUAAAGAGCGUGUAGGCGGCCAGACAGGUCCGUUGUGAAAACUCGAGGCUCAACCUCGAGACGUCGAUGGAAACCGUCUGGCUAGAGUCCGGAAGAGGAGAGUGGAAUUCCUGGUGUAGCGGUGAAAUGACGCAGAUAUCAGGAAGAACACCCGUGGCGAAGGCGGCUCUCUGGGACGGUACUGACGCUGAGACGCGAAAGCGUGGGGAGCGAACAGG
rnacentral:rRNA from 1 species